rnacentral:rRNA from 1 species
GAUCCGACUACGCUCCCAACCCAAUGUGAACGUUACCAAACUGUUGCCUCGGCGGGAUCUCUGCCCCGGGUGCGUCGCAGCCCCGGACCAAGGCGCCCGCCGGAGGACCAACCAAAACUCUUAUUGUAUACCCCCUCGCGGGUUUUUUACUAUCUGAGCCAUCUCGGCGCCCCUCGUGGGCGUUUCGAAAAUGAAUCAAAACUUUCAACAACGGAUCUCUUGGUUCUGGCAUCGAUGAAGAACGCAGCGAAAUGCGAUAAGUAAUGUGAAUUGCAGAAUUCAGUGAAUCAUCGAAUCUUUGAACGCACAUUGCGCCCGCCAGUAUUCUGGCGGGCAUGCCUGUCCGAGCGUCAUUUCAACCCUCGAACCCCUCCGGGGGGUCGGCGUUGGGGAUCGGCCCUUUACGGGGCCGGCCCCGAAAUACAGUGGCGGUCUCGCCGCAGCCUCUCCUGCGCAGUAGUUUGCACACUCGCAUCGGGAGCGCGGCGCGUCCACAGCCGUUAAACACCCCAAACUUCUGAAAUGUUGACCUCGGAUCAGGUAGGAAUACCCGCUGAACUUAAGCAUAUCUAAAGCGCGGAGAGGAA